AUAGACAAUGGAUCUGACCUCACUGCUGUUCCAAUGUAUUGCUUUAUAUCAAUAGGGUCCAAAGGGAGAAAUGGGACCACCAGGGCCACAGGGGCCAAUGGGAAUAGGAUCAAUUGGACCCCCGGGUAGGGAUGGUACACAAGGAUUUUCUGGGAUUCCAGGUCAGGAUGGGAGUUCUGUAAGUUUGUUUAUUUAUUUAUUUAGUCCUCUCCAGCAAUGCUUUGCUCAUCCCCUCUAGCUUAUUCCCAUAUUGUGACAUGCACUCUGUCAUUAACAAAUUCACCCAAGCAUAUUGUCCGUAGUUCAUUGCUCUGCCAUCUAGAGACGGCAUCAAACAAACUUUCAUAAACUGCAGAGACAAAGGCAGCGAGAGUUUGUUGUCUUGCCAGAGCUCGUCUCAUUAAAAAAGCAAAGUUAGCAUUGUCUGUUCUCACAUCAGAUGUUAAUUACUUGAGGCUUUGUCGCAGAGAGCUUGAGGAGCGAAGCCAGAGACAGACUCGGGUCAUAUCUGACUCUGCCUGGAUCCCUAACAGCAACACAUUGUCAGCUUGCAUCACGUCACCUGUCGCUGCUCCUCCCCGAUCCACACUCAUCUCGCUGGCCCUGAAGAGUUACACACAAUAAUACUGUCUAACUGAGCCUUUAUGUGUGUGUGUGUUUCUCCUUGUCUUUCAGGGAGCCACUGGGCCUAAGGGUGACAAGGGUGAACCAGGAGAGUGCAACUGUUUGAAUAAUAUGUCCCCUGGAACUGGCGGACCUGGGGUCCCAGGUGGUGAGAACAGGUGGCAGUCUGGUCCUCAGGGGCCUCCUGGACCACCAGGCCCUCCAGGUCCCCCAGGGCCACAAGGCUUUACAGGAAUCCCCGGCCCACACGGUAUCCCUGGCAACGAUGGCGUACCAGGGAAACCGGGUCCACCCGGCCAAGCACCUCCAGUUUUUCUGCCUCAGGAUUCAGCUUCCACAGACACGGAGGGCUGUGGUGAUUGCUCCACGGGCCUACCUGGUGUGCCCGGCAAGGUUGGCUCUAAAGGCGAGAAGGGAGAUCAGGGCAAGCCUGGGGUUGUACCCUCAGAAGGAUGCGAACGGUGUCUACAGCCUCAGAGACCACAGAGAGAAGAAACACCAAGUGUGCCUACGAGUAACAGUGGUCAGUGCGUUGGUGCACCAGGGAUGCCUGGAUUCCCAGGGGACCCAGGGGUCAAAGGAGAGCCGGGUCCUAGAGGUGAGCGAGGACCUCCUGGUCUUCCUGGAACCCCGGGCAAUAUUGGUUUCCCUGGUCCUCAAGGGCCUCCUGGACUGUCUGUAAGUCAAAGCAUGCCAACUCACGAUCAGCUCAGACAAACACCGUAGAUGUUUA
rnacentral:lncRNA from 1 species